rnacentral:rRNA from 1 species
CGGGAUUGAAAUUUAGAUGGCGGCAGAUGAGAGUUUGCUUUCCUUCGGGACAUCUAAGUAGGUGCUGCAUGGUUGUCGUCAGCUCGUGCCGUGAGGUGUCGGCUUAAGUGCCAUAACGAGCGCAACCCGCGUUGAUAGUUACUAACAGGUUAUGCUGAGGACUCUAUCGAGACAGCCGUCGUAAGACGUGAGGAAGGGGCGGAUGACGUCAAAUCAGCACGGCCCUUACAUCCGGGGCGACACACGUGUUACAAUGGCAGGGACAAAGGGAAGCGACAUGGUGACAUGAAGCGGAUCUCCAAACCCUGUCCCAGUUCGGAUCGGAGUCUGCAACUCGACUCCGUGAAGCUGGAUUCGCUAGUAAUCGCGCAUCAGCCAUGGCGCGGUGAAUACGUUCCCGGGCC